GCCCAGAUGGCGGAAUUGGCAGACGCACUAGCUUGAGGUGCUAGCGCCCCAAAAGGGCUUGCAGGUUCAAAUCCUGUUCUGGGCACCA
rnacentral:tRNA from 1 species